rnacentral:rRNA from 1 species
UGGGGAAUAUUGCACAAUGGGGGAACCCUGAUGCAGCAACGCCGCGUGAGUGAUGACGGCCUUCGGGUUGUAAAGCUCUGUCUUCAGGGACGAUAAUGACGGUACCUGAGGAGGAAGCCACGGCUAACUACGUGCCAGCAGCCGCGGUAAUACGUAGGUGGCGAGCGUUGUCCGGAUUUACUGGGCGUAAAGGGAGCGUAGGCGAACUUUUAAGUGAGAUGUGAAAUACCCGGGCUCAACUUGGGUGCUGCAUUUCAAACUGGAAGUCUAGAGUGUAGGAGAGGAGAAUGGAAUUCCUAGUGUAGCGGUGAAAUGCGUAGAGAUUAGGAAGAACACCAGUGGCGAAGGCGAUUCUCUGGACUGUAACUGACGCUGAGGCUCGAAAGCGUGGGUAUCAAACA